CAACGACCAUAUUUGUUGCAAAUCUUUCUAAUAAUUAAUGGUAACAACUUUAAUCGUUGCUAAAUAUACCGCUUUUAAUUGUAACGACAAUGUUGUUGCUGUAUUUAUGACUACAAACCUAAAAAGUACAAAAAUAAUAAUAAAAAAUUGAUAAAACAAAAUAAAGUUGUACUGUAUAUUUUACUUUCCCAAACCCAGAACCUUUUAUCCUUCUUCUUCCCCGCCUAACCCUUAUUUCAUCUCGCCACCCCAAAUUUUCGCCACUCCAAAAUUCAAAGCAACUACAAAAUUAUCCAAAACAACUACAAAUUAAGCUUACUAAAAUUAUCUAUUAUUUCACCUCAAAAAAAAUUAUAAAUUCUAAAUAAAUUACUUCUUAGCCCAAAUUGCUUGAAUCAUUUGGUGCGAUAUAAUUUUGGGAGUUAGUGUUUGUCUAAAAAAAAGGUAAUUCUUGUGGGUAUGAAUUUUGACAUUAGCUAGCUGUGAUGAUUUCUUCUUGGUACUACUCUAAUAGCAAGUAACAAGAGAGACACAUAAUUAGUAGCUAGCUGCUAGAAAAUCGAAGUAACCAAAGGAGAAAACUUUUUGAGCUAUAGCAAGCUAUCUGGUUGUCAAGAUUAUUUAAGCAGGUUGAUCGAGUGAUUGUAGCUAAAUGAGCUCAAGUGUUUCGAUUAGUAUGUUGUAACCAGUUUGUAAAGUUGUAUAAAUAGCUCACCUAGAUUUAUUGGGUUGUAUUUAUUGGGAUUUGUAAGCCUUAACACUCGACAUGUUGUUGAGUGUGGCGGUGAUACCUCCGAUUUAGGUGUAUGCUGCCGCAAUUUUAUUUAAAGGUUGUCUAUUUUCCCUUUAUUUAUUGUUUAUUAUCAGUUAGUAAA